CAGGCCUAACACAUGCAAGUCGAGCGGACCAUUCCUUCGGGGAUGGUUAGCGGCGGACGGGUGAGUAACACGUAGGCAACCUGCCUGUAAGAUCGGGAUAACUACCGGAAACGGUAGCUAAGACCGGAUAGCUGGUUUCCCCGCAUGGGGGAAUCAUGAAACACGGGGCAACCUGUGGCUUACGGAUGGGCCUGCGGCGCAUUAGCUAGUUGGUGGGGUAACGGCCCACCAAGGCGACGAUGCGUAGCCGACCUGAGAGGGUGAUCGGCCACACUGGGACUGAGACACGGCCCAGACUCCUACGGGAGGCAGCAGUAGGGAAUCUUCCGCAAUGGGCGCAAGCCUGACGGAGCAACGCCGCGUGAGUGAUGAAGGUUUUCGGAUCGUAAAGCUCUGUUGCCAAGGAAGAACGCCUCGGAGAGUAACUGCUCUGAGGGUGACGGUACUUGAGAAGAAAGCCCCGGCUAACUACGUGCCAGCAGCCGCGGUAAUACGUAGGGGGCAAGCGUUGUCCGGAGUUAUUGGGCGUAAAGCGCGCGCAGGCGGUCUUUUAAGUUUGGUGUUUAAGCCCGGGGCUCAACCCCGGUUCGCACUGAAAACUGGGAGACUUGAGUGCAGGAGAGGAAAGCGGAAUUCCACGUGUAGCGGUGAAAUGCGUAGAGAUGUGGAGGAACACCAGUGGCGAAGGCGGCUUUCUGGACUGUAACUGACGCUGAGGCGCGAAAGCGUGGGGAGCAAACAGGAUUAGAU
rnacentral:rRNA from 1 species